rnacentral:rRNA from 1 species
AUUGAACGCUGGCGGCAGGCCUAACACAUGCAAGUCGAGCGGAUGAAGGGAGCUUGCUCCUGGAUUCAGCGGCGGACGGGUGAGUAAUGCCUAGGAAUCUGCCUGGUAGUGGGGGAUAACGUCCGGAAACGGGCGCUAAUACCGCAUACGUCCUGAGGGGGACAGUGUGGGAUCUUCGGACCUCACGCUAUCAGAUGAGCCUAGGUCGGAUUAGCUAGUUGGUGGGGUAAAGGCCUACCAAGGCGACGAUCCGUAACUGGGCUGAGAGGAUGAUCAGUCACACUGGAACGUGGACACGGUCCAGACUCCUACGGGAGGCAGCAGUGGGGAAUAUUGGACAAUGGGCGAAAGCCUUAUCCAGCCAUGGCGCGUGUGUGAAGAAGGUCUUCGGAUUGUAAAGCACUUUAAGUUGGGAGGAAGGGCAGUAAGUUAAUACCUUGCUGUUUUGACGUUACCAACAGAAUAAGCACCGGCUAACUUCGUG